CAGUCGCCACGGGAAUACGUAGAUGGCAAGCGUUGUUCGGAAUUACUGGGCGUAAAGCGCACGUAGGCGGAUAUUUAAGUCAGGGGUGAAAUCCCAGAGCUCAACUCUGGAACUGCCUUUGAUACUGGGUAUCUUGAGUAUGGAAGAGGUGAGUGGAAUUCCGAGUGUAGAGGUGAAACUCGUAGAUAUUCGGAGGAACACCAGUGGCGAAGGCGGCUCACUGGUCCAUUACUGACGCUGAGGUGCGAAAGCGUGGGGAGCAAACAGGAUUAGAUACCCCUGUAGUCCCUGUCUCUUAUAC
rnacentral:rRNA from 1 species